rnacentral:rRNA from 1 species
GAUGAACGCUGGCGGCGUGCCUAAUACAUGCAAGUCGAGCGAACAGACGAGGAGCUUUCUCCUCUGACGUUAGCGGCGGACGGGUGAGUAACACGUGGAUAACCUACCUAUAAGACUGGGAUAACUUCGGGAAACCGGAGCUAAUACCGGAUAAUAUAUUGAACCGCAUGGUUCAAUAGUGAAAGACGGUUUUGCUGUCACUUAUAGAUGGAUCCGCGCCGCAUUAGCUAGUUGGUAAGGUAACGGCUUACCAAGGCAACGAUGCGUAGCCGACCUGAGAGGAUGAUCGGCCACACUGGAACUGAGACACGGUCCAGACUCCUACGGGAGGCAGCAGUAGGGAAUCUUGCGCAAUGGGCGCAAGCCUGACGGAGCAACGCCGCGUGAGUGAUGAAGGUCUUCGGAUCGUAAAACUCUGUUAUUAGGGAAGAAAAAAUGUGUAAGUAACUAUGCACGUCUUGACGGUACCUAAACAGAAAGCCACGGCUAACUACGUG